AUGAAGGGAGAGGUCGGUACUAUCGAUCAUGAGAAACUUGUGUGUUUGUGUACAGUAUAUAAAGUGUUUAUUUUAGCAAGAGAGUAUGGGAGUGAUAGAAAAAAAAUCUGUUCAUCAUUUACUCAGCCUCAUGUUGUUCAAAACCUUAAAAAAGCAGAUAUGUUUAAGAGUGUUUCAACUGUGUUUGUCCAUAUAGUAAAAGUCUGUAAGGUCCAAAACAAGCAAACAAACUGAAAUAAAAUAAAAAUAAUAAUAAUAUAUACAAAUAAAUGUGUAUAUACAUUAACGUUCAAAAUAAAUAAAUAAAGGUAAUAUAGAAAUAUAAGGUUGGAAUUUUUAAAUAUUAUUGAAAGAAGUUAUGCUCACUUAUUUGAUCAAAAAUAGAGUAAAACAGUAAUAUUGUGAAACAUUUCUUAUUAUUAUCAGUUGAAAGCAGAUUUUGCUGCUUACCAAUUUUUUUGGAAACAGUGUUACAGUGCUGUUCAAAAUUUUGGGGUAAUAAAACUUUUAUUUUAUUUUAUUUUAUUUAAUGUAUUUUUAUUUUAUUUUAUUUUUUUUAUUUUUUUAUUUUAUUUUUUAAUUUAAUUUAAUUUAAUUUAAUUUAAUUUAAUUUUUUAUUUUAGAAAUGUUGCUUUGCUUUUAUUCAGCAAAGGCACAUCAAAAUGAUCAAAAGUGACAGCAAAGAUAUUUAUAAUGUUACAAAAUAUUUAUAUUCCAAAUAAAUGCUGUUCUUUUGAACUAUUCAUUAACAAAUCCUGAAAAAAAAAAAAAAUAAUAAUAAUAAUAAUAAUUAAAAGUAUCACGCUUUCCACAAAAAUAUUUAUAUUAAGCAGCAAAAACGAUUUUCAGCAUUGAUGAUAAUAACAACCAUCAUUAAUAAUUGAGAGCCAGUAAUAAUUGAUGAUAACUGAUCAGCAUUUAGCAUAUUAGAAUGAUAUUUAAACACAUCAUGCAAAGAGUUACUAAGAUAUGUAAAGCUUUAUGGCCACUGAUUAGCUUGACAGACUAGAAGCAUGAGCCUGAGGAAAAGAACACUGAAUGAUGGGCCGAAAGCAGAGGAAACAUGGACCAUCAACUGUUGAGACUAAAUAUCAAAGAAAUCAAUGACGUGCAACACCAGUAAGCCCUAAUUGAGUCUUUAUCUGUGCAUAAGUAUAAUGCAGUGGCCGUGCUCCGUCGAGUGGCUCUGAAGAGGCAGAAUGAUGGAUCAGGAUUCAGAGGACAGGCCUGUCAGGGCUUUGAUUGAUCAGAGAGCUGUGCUUUUGUCCGGCCCCCAGGAUCCCUCAGCACUUCCUAUAAUCAAAGCCCCGCCAUUCUGCUCUAAUUAGCCACUGAGAGAGACGUCAGGACACUUGAUUUAAAGCAGGGACAUGCUGCAUGUGCUACAGCCCCCUAUACAACUCUCAUUCCCUCUUUUUGUCUCUCUGAGUCCAUGCAUUGUAUCCAAUCACAGGUAAAUGCAUUGAUAAUGACAGCAAAUAUACACUCUGAUUGCAAAAAAUGUACCUUGUCUGAAACAGUCGAGCACAAAGCAGACAUCUGAGCUUUGGAGAGGGCGAUGAGAAAGACAGUGACCCAUAACAGACAUGCAGCCGAACCGAUGCCAGGUCUUUACCGCAAACUCCAGUUCUGUGGCUGGAGAUGCAUGAAGAACCUGGAGCUCUGAAACCACACAGUCUGGCCUUAAGACUGGAAAAUCAAUAAGCAGCACUAAAAUUCAGGAGCAGACGGCAUUCCCAUGCCUUCGCUUAGCUGAGGAAUAAUAGGCAGCCAUCCCUGAAACGCACUUGGACGCUUCACCUGCCAUCCAGAGCCAAGGGAAAAAAGGAUUAGAAACCAGCAAAAGCAUCCAAAUGAAGAAAAGGAUGAAGAGAUGAGGGAGAUGCAGAAGAGAAAAGCUCAAACGGAGGAUCUGCUAAGAGCGGCUGAAGGGCUAUUAUCAGUUUCAUGUACGGUUGAUGAUGACUUCACCACAUGUUGUCCCUGGGCUUAAACUCCAAAUACCUGUUGUGGAUAGGUUUUGGUAAAUGAAUAAGUCUACUGGACAGGGUCUACAAUUAACUACCUUUACACGGCGAGUCAACUGAGAAAAUUUAAUUGCUUAAAAAAAAUAAUAAUAAUAAUAUCAUAUCACAUAUCAUAUAGUAGCAUAUAUUAUAAUAUAAUAUAACAUUUUGCUUAUUCAUUUAUUUAUUUAUUUACGGUUGCUUGCUUGCAUAUAACCAUGAGGGUGAGUAAAUGAUGGCAGAAUUUUAAUAUAAUAUAAUAUAAUAUAAUAUAAUAUAAUAUAAUAUAAUAUAAUAUAAUAUAAUAUAAUAUAAUAUAAUAGUGCUGUCAAACUAUUCAUUGCAAUUAAUCACAUUUAAAAUAAAAGGUUUUUUUACAGAAUGUAUGUGUGUGUACUGUGUAUAUUUAUUAUGUAUAUAGAAAUACACACACAUGCAUGUAUAUAUUUAAGAAAAUUAUGUUAUGUUUAUAUAUUAAAUAUAUUUAUAAAUAAUAUGAAUUAUAUGAAUAUACAUAUAUGCACAUAAAUACAUGUAAAUAUUUUCCAAAUAUAUACAUGCAUGUGUGUGUAUUUAUAUAUACAGUAAAUCGUAAAUAUACACAUUAUGCACACAUUAUAUUAUGUAAACAAAAACAUAACAAAAACUGUUUUUUUUUUUUUGUUUUUUUUUUGCUUGGAUAGUAUCAUUGAUGACCAGUGUAUUCUUUAAAACUUAUCUUUUUGUCUUCCAUAGAAUUAAAUGAUGUAAGUAACACUGGCAAGUAACACUUUUUUUUGGAUUAGGUGCUUCAUGAGGGUUAAUUUUGGACUCUGGUGCUGGAUAAUUCUCAGACUGAGAAGGUGGAAAAUUUGUUUCCUCUUACCUGUAGGAUUCAAUAUCAAUCAUUAUUUGAUUUAUUUCUUCGUGUUAAUGUGAUAUUUUGCACAGCAUGCUUCGGCAAGCCUUCGAAUGCUCCACAUGCUAUAUUCAUAUUAAUAAAUGAGU
ensembl:lncRNA